rnacentral:rRNA from 1 species
GCAAUACGUCAGCGGCAGACGGGUGAGUAACGCGUGGGAACGUACCUUUUGGUUCGGAACAACACAGGGAAACUUGUGCUAAUACCGGAUAAGCCCUUACGGGGAAAGAUUUAUCGCCGAAAGAUCGGCCCGCGUCUGAUUAGCUAGUUGGUAGGGUAAUGGCCUACCAAGGCGACGAUCAGUAGCUGGUCUGAGAGGAUGAUCAGCCACAUUGGGACUGAGACACGGCCCAAACUCCUACGGGAGGCAGCAGUGGGGAAUUUUGGACAAUGGGGGCAACCCUGAUCCAGCCACGCCGCGUGCGGGAAGAAGGCCUUCGGGUUGUAAACCGCUUUUGUCCGGGAAGAAAAGGCACUCCCUAAUACGGAGUGCUCUUGACGGUACCGGAAGAAUAAGCACCGGCUAACUACGUGCCAGCAGCCGCGGUAAUACGUAGGGUGCGAGCGUUAAUCGGAAUUACUGGGCGUAAAGCGUGCGCAGGCGGUUCGUGAUGUCUGGUGUGAAAGCCCCGGGCUUAACCUGGGAAUUGCAUUGGAAACUAGCGGGCUGGAGUGUGGCAGAGGGGGGUGGAAUUCCACGUGUAGCAGUGAAAUGCGUAGAGAUGUGGAGGAACACCGAUGGCGAAGGCAGCCCCCUGGGCUAACACUGACGCUCAUGCACGAAAGCGUGGGGAGCAAACAGGAUUAGAUACCCUGGUAGUCCACGCCCUAAACGAUGGCAACUGGGUGUUGGGGAA